CGUGCAGAAUGCACCCUACUGGGGAAGAACGCAAAGACAGUGGGAGCAUUCCACCUUGCUAAGAAACCAGGAGCUACAGGACAAGGUCAGAAGCUCAGCGAGACAGACCGAGGGGGAGCAGAGGCUGACCUCAAACUCCCAGCAAUCCUCCUGUCUCUGCUUUCUGAAUGACAGAAUCAAAGCUAUGCACCUCCACCCUCAACUCCAGGCGUGCGUAAUAAGCUACUUGUUUGAAUAUGGUGUGAGGUUCGGUGCUUCUGUAGUGGCUAUUACCUUUGAGUGUUCUGCAGUUUAACAGACGAGACCCACAAGUGUCUACAGGUGGUUCUCAUCUCUAGAGAUAUCAGAAACACCUACAGCAUUUUUAAAACCCAACGCCCUAGCUGCCCUAGGUCAAGGUUGUCAACAUCUCUGGAAGUGGCCUUAGCAUCAACCAUUAUUUUUUUUAAAGUUGGCCGCACAACCAAAUAGCCAAUCACUGAACAAGGGUGACCAGUGACCAGACACCGGUCUUGGUUUGCCUGGGGCUGAGGAGUUUCCUGAAGUCAAGAGGCCCAGAGAAAACUGGAACACAUCCCCACCUCACAGAUCCCAGUCCUCUUAGGCAGCCAUGCACUGGAACAUCUGGUUCCGUUGGCUGUAGAGCUGGGUGGGGAUUCAUUUUCUCUGCCAUCUUUGUUUUAGAGCACAUUUUCUUGGUCAGAAGGCGCUAGGAAGUCAUGAAUGUGUCUUGUACCUACAGGUAGGUGCCCAACAGUAACAAAGAGAGAAACCAUUUCCUCCAGAGAUGAUGUAUUCUCAGAUGGGUUGUCUAAUCCCAAAUUGUCAGCCCUGGAUACAUAUGCAUGAGGAAUGUAAUGAAUAAUGUGUGUGUGUGUGUGUGUGUGUGUGUGUGCGCGCGCGCAUGUGUGUGUAUGACAGCAUUCAUUGGAGGAGGGUGGGGAACACGAAUUGAGGGGAAGGGUGGAAGCGAUAUAGAUGCUGAUGCUGUGUUUAUUCAUGAAAUUGUCAAAAAAAUUAACUUUAAAAUAUCUCUACGAAAAAUAACUUUAUCUCUUUACUCUCUAGCUUCUGGACCCAAUUUCUCCUUUCUCACUGGUCAGCAGACCUCCCUGUACUUCUGUGAUGGAGACUAAAACCAAAUAGCAGAAAAAUUGGGGAUAAAGGAGAUGGCUCAGUCGGUAAAGUACUUGCUGUAUAUGAUGAGGACCUGAGUUCAAAUCCAGCUCCCCAUGAAAAAGCUAGGCAUGGCAGAACUCUCCUAUAAUCCCAGUGUUGGGGAGACAGAGAGAAGAGCAUCCCUGGGGCUUGCUAGCCAACAGGUUAGCAAAUUGGUGAGUUCCAGGUUCAGUUUAAAAAAAAAAAGUGUCCCAAAAAAUAAGGUAGAAAACAGCUGAGGAAGACACUUAAUGCCAAUGUCUUACUUCUACUUGUACACACACACACACACACACACACACACAGAGUAGUCUCCCUUUGCAUCACCCACACAUGCACACAUGCACCCCGCCCCCACCAGCACAUGUCAGUCUCUCUUUGCAUCAGUCACCUGACUGACUGACCGUGAGUCCCUCUGAUGAACUGAAGGCACCCCCCUGGGAUUUUACAUUGUCCAGUGGUUCUCACACUUGAGCAUGCAUCAGAACCACUGGGGCGAGCAUAUUAACACACACACACAAACACACACACACACACACACACACACACUCACACACUCCAGACCUUACCCUCAGAGUUUAUGAUUCUGCACACUACAACAGGCAGACAGCCAAUUAACCUGCAUUUUCAGUAAACUCCCAGGAGGUACUGAGCUACAGUUGGCCUGGGGACCACACUUUAGAACCACCUUAAUACAAGAAAGAGAUCACAGCAUUGAAUGUCUGUCCUCCUCCAGAAUAAAGGACUUGUAAACUCAUACUGAAGCAAAACAGAAAACAGUCACCACAAAAAGAAGUGUGUGGUUGCUCCCAGGGUUCCCUUCAGGCCAUGUGAUGUUCAAGUAGAACCUGCUACUCCUUGGGUGAGAUUCUCUGGAUCAGAGUUUGACAGAUACUUGGGGACAGCUACCAUUGCUUUAAAAAGCUCAUGUCUGAUAGACUAGGGCUGUGAUAGGCUGAGGAGGCCAUGGGUCUCAUUGUAAGGCAGCUGGCGUCUGCAUUCCGUGGCAAACUAAAUCACGCCUGGAGCUGCUCUCCAUUUGGCAGGAAAACAAGCUGCUCCUUGUUUCUUAUGCUCAACUUCUUUUGCAGGAUUAACAGAGCCACAAAGGAAGCUAGCCAGCAAAGGGAGCUUUCCCCCAGCUUCAGACACCAAUCAGCAAGCCUGCUCCUAAUAGGCAGGACUAGAAUUCAAAGUCAUAGUGUAGAAUCAAAAAUAAAUUCAAGACCACCCAGCCCCUUUCCCUCUGAAGGGACUUUCCAAACUAUACUAGCAGGCCAAGUACAGAGCCAGAUAAGAAAGCUGUCUGACUUAACAAUGCUGGAAAAAAACAAAAACAAAAACAAAAAACCAUAAGGGCAGGCAGAGUGAGGGACUAGGCCAAAGGUGGUCACCCUAUGUAAACCAACCAAUGCCUGAAAGGGUUACUUGCUACACCAAUUAGAAUAAGCCAGAUAGCUCUGUUUGCCUAAAUCUGCCCCUUACAAGGUAUAAAAAGUGUGUUCUUUGUUCUUUUGGAGUCUCUCCUCUUGCCUGCAUGCUGGGGGAGGUGGGGGGUCAACGCGUUGGAUCAAUAAAAUAAAAAAGAACCUCUUGCAGUUUGCAUUGAUCUUGGUCUCUGUGGUCUUUGUGAAUGAGGGUCUUUUGGCAGACUCGACAAUUUAACAUUUGCAAGCAGGGCAAAAUGAAGGAGCCUUGAGUGGUUUCUCCUGGAAGAUACAGGACCCAUGGUUAGAGACUCUCACAUGGCUUCCUUCUCUAACUUAAUUCUUGUUCUAGCAAACCCUCUCCAGAGUUUCUGCUUCCCCUCACAAGAGGAAGGCUGUCAUCUCUGGUCCAUGACAGGCUGCCUUCCAGAGCUCAUCUUAACCUUAAAUGCAAGCUUGAAAGUGUCUUCCACAUUAUUAAGGGAGUUUUUGAUUUCAGCAUCCCUAGGACUUGUCAGGCUCCCAGCCCACUGCAGAAUUGCUGGACCAGAAUUGACUGCUUUUCUGGAGGUCAUGAGUUCAAAUCCCAGCAACCACAUGGUGGCUCACAACCACCCGUAAUGAGAAACAGAUAAACCCUAUGGGCUGGAGCGAGUGGGACCUGGAGUGAGCCGGGCCAAGCAAAAGGAAGAAGGCGGGGGGGGGGGGGGGGGCGGGUUUCCUUUAAAAAAAAUUAAAAAGCAAAACAAUAUCUGUAAUCCUAGCAUUCAGGAAGCAGAGGUAGGGGGAUAGCUUGUGUAAAAUAAUGAGUUCCAGGACACCAACCUGGGCAACGGGGAGAGACUCUGUCUCAAAAUAAAAUUAAAUAAAACAAAUGAAAAGAAUAAGCAGACGCAGCAUGGUGGGGCCCAGGUGCACUUAAAGCUUUCAGGCAGGAAAAGCAGAAAGGCUACAUGUUCAAGAGAGCUCCAGGCUUUAGCAGAAUACCUUGUCUCAAAAAAUUAAAAUAAGUAAAGGAAACUUGGAGUUAAAUGGGUCGCAACCCUCUCCAGUACCAGCAGCAUCCUAUGAGACCUGCACACGCCUUCAGCACCGCCAGCUUCCUUCCAACAGCUGUGAGCUUUAUACCCAUUCCUAUCAAGACAAAAAAUGGAGGAAGUCUCCACCUGUAGCCACACAGGCUGCCUGGGAAGAAUAGGGUGAACCAACGAGGAACGGGGUGAACCAACGGGGAGGAACGGGGUGAACCAACGAGGAACAGGGUGAACCAACGAGGAACAGGGUGAACCAACGACGGAUGGAUACAGAAUGGAGUCCUGGUCACUUGACUCUAAACAGUCAUUUCCUGCUAGAGAUAUUCAGCAGGCGAAGCCAGUACUCACCCUGGCACUGAAAACCCACCAGGAGAGGACUGAAGAUGCUCUAAGGCAUCCCUGUCAAUCACAAGAGGAAGUGUCUCGGACUGACCAGACAGAGGCCACCGUGGAAAGACAUGCAGGCCCAAGCCAGAGGCCUCCCUACCCGAGCCAAGUAACUAACCCAGGCUGGCUCUGUGCUCCUCCCCAGCUGCCUGAAUUCAUGUCAGGGCCACCAGUAGCAGACGAACGUCCUUGGGAGGGUCUUCCCGAAUGUGUCCCUGUCACCUCCCUCUGUCCUAUGUAAGUGUCCUUAGUAAGAAAGGAAUGGUCAUAUCGCUUCCAACAUGGAGAAAAUGCGGGCCACAGACAGACAGACGUACUGGGCUUCAAAUAUGCCGUGGCCCACCGACGCUGCGGCCCUCGUUUCUGGCAGAUAAGAGUUCUACAAACUGAACAGGGAGCUGCUUUCUGCCGUGUUUCUGACCUCUCUUCUUCCUUCUGCUUUCUUGCUCCUCUUGCUUGAUGGCCAUUGUUAAUGACUCCCAGCCCUUCUGUUGAUGUCCCCUUUGACCCACAUUGCCACAGGUACCGAGAAAGUCAAACCUUCCUCUUAAGGACACAGGGAACUGCCAGGGCCACUGAAUUAUCUGUGUUUAGCAAUCCACCAAAUGCCUAAGAGUUCUUGCUUUGCAAUGUGCUCUCUGUCAUCACAAUACCCUCGACAGGUGGACGGAGCCAGACAGCAGGGCUGGCCCAGAACCCAGAACUCCAGAAGCCCAAAGGAACACUUAGUCGCUGGAGCAGCAGUGAUCUUACCGGUUUACUGGAGAUGCUUACCCACCCCGCCCCCAAGAUCUUCGGUCACUGAGCAUAUCCAGUGACUACUCCCCUCCUGCCUACAAUGUAUAACAAAGUAAAAAACGAGCAGCGUGUGCUAAAAGCGGACUCUCCCCAUCUACGGAGACUUCUUACUGCUGCAAUCACAUAGACCAGGUAACCAGGAAUGGCACCAAACUUGGAUGUUUUGGCACAGCACGGGCGCUGGAGAGAGGCCUUGGAAUGCAGCUGGACUGUGGUCGCAAGGCCAAGGAAACAGGCAAGUAAAGAGGGACCCAGUGUUCAGUGGGCAAGCUUCUGGGAGGGCGUAAAGACCAACACCCUUUAAAGUCAACAAGAUUUUUAAAAAUUAAGCAACUGGCAGUUGUGUAUUUUUUUUCAAGCAAAUAUAAACGAAGACUCGACUUCUCACCUGUUUUCAGGUUUUGAGUUUGGGGCCUUCUAAGAUCUAUGGAUGGGGGACUUUUUAUAAUCUGUGGACCUGAACAAAGUUAUAAAAGAGUUUCAGCACCAGGACUCGCAGAGAUACAGUGCUCAUUUGUGCAAGUCUUCGAAGGAGGGAGAGUGUUGCGCUUGCAGUCCUUCUUGUUGUCUUGAAUAUCGUAUUUUAAUAUUUAUUUUUAUUUAUACAUAUGUGUGUGAGCUUGUAUGAGUGGCUAUCUCAAAGCAUUGCUGUGUGUGUCUGUAGACGAUCUUCUAGUGCUAACCAGUCACCCCCUUUAUCCAUUUAUUACCCCAUAGAUCAAAUGUAUUUGGAUAAAAUUUGUAUCUGCAAUGAGCAUGUGCCGACUUUGUUAUUCUUGUUCCCUAAAGGUCAUGGUAUGACAAUGGCUCAUAUGCCAUUUAAUGUGUAUAAGUUAUGAGAAACCUUCUAGAGAUGCUUUGAAGUACACAAAAGAAUAACAAUGCAUCUCAUACCAUAGACUUGAGGACUUGGGUGAUAUCUUAGUUAGGGUCUUACUGCUGUGAACAGACACCAUGACCAAGGC